GGUGGCUCAGUGGCAGAGUGUUUGCCUUGCAUGCAUGAGGCCCUGGGUUCGAUUCCUCAGCACCA
rnacentral:tRNA from 1 species